rnacentral:rRNA from 1 species
AUUGAACGCUGGCGGCAUGCCUUACACAUGCAAGUCGAGCGGCAGCGCGGGGGCAACCCUGGCGGCGAGCGGCGAACGGGUGAGUAAUGCAUCGGAACGUGUCCUCUUGUGGGGGAUAACCAGUCGAAAGACUGGCUAAUACCGCAUGAGAUCGAGAGAUGAAAGCGGGGGACCGCAAGGCCUCGCGCGAGAGGAGCGGCCGAUGUCGGAUUAGCUAGUCGGCGGGGUAAUGGCCACCAAGGCGACGAUCCGUAGCUGGUCUGAGAGGACGACCAGCCACACUGGGACUGAGACACGGCCCAGACUCCUACGGGAGGCAGCAGUGGGGAAUUUUGGACAAUGGGCGCAAGCCUGAUCCAGCCAUGCCGCGUGUGUGAAG